GCAGAGUUGCUGUAAUAAUGCCUUCUUCCCAGACUGCCAGCUUUUCAACUGUGAUGACAUCAUCAGAUACCUGUGCCGAGAGCUUGGAAGGCAUUUCUAUAGGCUCAUUACGAGUGACUGUUAAAGUCCCCAUUCACUGAGAAGCAAAGGCCUAUGUAAGGAUAAAACACCCACCAUAGAAAUGCAUUUCACUAAAAGACCCUCUGGUGGAAUCACCAUGCCUGACCUAAAGCUGUACUACAGAGCAAUCGUGAUAAAAACUG